AACGGCCAUACCAUGAUGAAUAUACCGGUUCUCGUUAGAUCACCGAAGUCAAGCAUCAUUGGGCGCGGUCAGUACUUGGGUGGGUGACCACCUGGGAACACCGCGUGCCGCUG
rnacentral:rRNA from 1 species